CUCUUAUCUAGUCCUAUACACUGGAUUGUCUGGAUUAUUUACUAAAGUAAGAAUGCAAUGUGGAUUGCAAAUUUUGGCCAGAGAAGCUAACCUGAAAGCAUAGCUGACAUUAAUAUGUUCUCCAGUUUAACAAUUUUGACUUUAAAUUUGAAAUUCAUUUUUAAUUCACACUUUAGUGAAUAACCCUGAAAUAGUGUCCAUAAGUCCUUGGUGAAGUACCACAGGAAAGUCUAUUGUCCUUGGUGAAGUGCCACAGUAAAGUCUAGCUUUCUGUGCAGUAGCUUGUCCCUAUAAAAUAAAGUAAGACAUUUUCAUAUUUAUUAAGUCCACCAAGUCAACUAUUGCACAUGUAUCCUCAUGUUCUGCCAAAACAAAUAAAUUUGGGUUAGGGG